CCUACGGGCGGGCAGCAGUGAGGAAUAUUGGUCAAUGGGCGCGAGCCUGAACCAGCCAAGUAGCGUGAAGGAUGACUGCCCUACGGGUUGUAAACUUCUUUUAUAAAGGAAUAAAGUGAGGCACGUGUGCCUUUUUGUAUGUACUUUAUGAAUAAGGUUCGGCUACACCCGGGCCAGCAGCCGCGGGAAUACGGAGGAUCCGAGCGUUUUCCGGUUUUUUUGGGUUUAAAGGGAGCGUAGAGGGGUUGUUAAGUCAGUUGUGAAUGUUUGCGGCUCAACCGUAAAAUUGCAAUUGAUACUGGCAGCCUUGAGUACAGUUGAGGUAGGCGGAAUGCGUGGUGUAGCGGUGAAAUGCUUAGAUAUCACGAAGAACUCCGAUUGCGAAGGCAGCCUACUAAACUGCCACUGACAUUGAUGCUCGAAAGUGUGGGUAUCAAACAGGAUUAGAUACCCGAGUAGUC
rnacentral:rRNA from 1 species